UGAACGCUAGCGACAGGCCUAACACAUGCAAGUCGAGGGGCAGCAUUACCGCUUGCGGUAGAUGGCGACCGGCGCACGGGUGCGUAACGCGUAUGGAACCUACCUUUUACAGGGGGAUAGCCCGGAGAAAUCCGGAUUAACACCCCAUAACAUAUCCUUUUGGCAUCAAAAAGAUAUUAAAACCCCGGUGGUAAAAGAUGGUCAUGCGUGGCAUUAGAUAGUUGGUGGGGUAACGGCCCACCAAGUCAACGAUGCCUAGGGGUUCUGAGAGGAAGGCCCCCCACACUGGUACUGAGACACGGACCAGACUCCUACGGGAGGCAGCAGUGAGGAAUAUUGGUCAAUGGGCGGAAGCCUGAACCAGCCAUGUCGCGUGCAGGAAGACGGCCCUACGGGUUGUAAACUGCUUUUUUACGGGAAGAAUUUCCGCUACGCGUAGCGGUUCGACGGUACCGUAAGAAUAAGCACCGGCUAACUCCGUGCCAGCAGCCGCGGUAAU
rnacentral:rRNA from 1 species